UCAGAAGAGAAGAGCAACCAAGGAAGAACAAACCCUAGGUGAGAAAAAUCAAAGAGAAAGUGUUAGAAUUCAAGGAUUUGAUCAAGUAAAGGUGGUUAACCAUUGGAUACGGGGUAAAGCACUGUACCCGCGAACUGAAAAUAGGAAUAUUUCUACUCCUAAUACUGCUCAGGACAGUUUGUUGAUAGUUGAUUAAGACGAGAAUUAAUCUCGGAGUUGAAUCCUAAAAAGUAAGGGUUCAUAGGCCUACACCUUCUUGGUCAGUUGGGAACCCACGUGUCACUGUAAAAGUAAUUUUAUACUUCAGUUAUCUGAU